UACGGAAUGGCAAUUGUUUCCUGCUUCUUCAGCGAUAUUUCUGAAAUCUCUGAUAUUUUUGAAAUCACACGUUUGCGACACGUGACAGAUUUACAGAGAUGCUUGCCACAGUCGACGAUCAAAACAAUAACAGUGGUCAAAGUGGCUGUAGCACCUGUGGCAGGAUAACAGUUUCUCGCCGUUCUUUACGUGAGUAUAAGUAUCGUACCGCGGAGGGUGUGUAUUCCAACGAGAUUAUUAACGUUAUCAAUAAUUUCAUAUGUAUGUGGUAAGAUCAACAAAAUUCAAUAAUUGAUUCUGUAUAAAAUACGACAAAAGCUCGUUCAUCACAGAUUAGGAACGUAGGUCAGGUUACAGCAUAUAUAUUUACAGGCUUCAGAGUCUGUCUCACGCAGAUACCAGAACUAAGUUAAUAGCGGCCUAAAAAAGCUUGCAUGGUGUUUGAGUACUAUAAUCGCAUCACGAAGCAAGCGGUCGUGGAUAUACGCGGAGUGCACACGAAUCCUCUAUUUGAUAAACCAGCAAAAACAAUAAAUCACGGGUGAAAUCACAACAUUCCAAACACUAUAUUUGUCCUUUACACUGAAUAAGGAGACUUUGAUAUAACGAGACUGUGUAUAGGCAGAAAUCAUGGAAUCAGAAGCAAGUCAUCAAAUUAAUAACGACUACACCGAGUUGUUCUUCUACGCGAACAUGUGUCACGUUUGCAAACGGUUUGGCGACG